rnacentral:lncRNA from 1 species
AACGGAGUCUCCAGUUCCUAGAACAUGAGGAGUUUUGUCACUGGGGGAAAGGCAUGAAACUGACAUGAAAUUGGGGGCGUGGGAGGUGGCGGUAGGGGCCGACUACCUGGUUUUUCUCUUUCUGUCAGGAACUGAAAGCUGCUUGCACAGUUCAAGUUCUGCUCUAAGGACCAAGCUAUGGUUUAGUUUAAUUCAGUGAUGCUGUCACCGCUGCUGUAACUACGGGACCAGGUAGCUGGGCCACUCAGUUGCCACUUGCUUCUGUCCUUCAAGGAAAUAACAUUUCUCAUCAGAGCCCAGGAGAUUAUUUGAGACUCAGGAUUCAGAUCAGAGCUUCGGCUGUGGCUGGGACAAGACCAGUGUGUAGAAAUUUCCCAGGGGGCCUGGGCACAGAGGGACCUCCAGUCCUGCGCUGAGCAGCCUCUCCCACUGACCUCUUUCUCAUUUGUGGAUGAAGCCGCACGUGUUAGCCCCGUUCAUCACCUGGACACAUCGACUCCGCAUUGUCUGGUCACUUGACCCUCACAGUCUUAUAGCACAAUAUACCCAACUUCUUCACCCCCAGUCUGAGGGCUGGGCCCAAGGUGUGGUCAGAGGAGGAGCUCCUGCCUGCAGUUUUGUGUACGUGUGUAUGUGUGUGCGUGUUUGUGUGUGUGUUUACCUCCACGGGGGACACUCUACACUCAGUGUAAGAUACGCUGGGAACAGGGCCACCGGGGUGGCUGGAUCUCAGUCUCUCUGUCUCUCUCUCUCUUCUUUUCCUUUUGAUGUAUCAAACACUUGGUUGACAAAGUAAGGGCCUUGAUUAGGACCAAAUUUCCGUGUCUGUUGCUACGGUCUUUAUUUAGGACAACAGUUAACAAUGCUGUGGCCCAUUCUUGUCACUCUAUACAUAUGACGAUACAGGACAUAUGUAAUAUAUAAAUAUAUAUAUAAGACAUGACCCUCUGUCUUCCUGGCUUAGGAUGAGAUCUCUCUGUUGAGCCGAAAUGCACCUGCAGCUCAGUGCUGCCAGCAACCUGCAGGCUCCAGCCCUGUUCUAAUUAACGCAGUCGAUAAUAAAGGAAUGAGUAUCGUUAC